GUGCUCACUUUGGCAGCACAUAUACUAACAUUGGGACGAUACAGAGAAGAUUAGCAUGGCCCCUGUGCAAGGAUGACACACAAAUUUGUGAAGCGUUCCAUAUUAAA
ensembl:snRNA U6 U6 spliceosomal RNA